GGCAUAUUGACUUAGGAAAUAAGCGUAAGACUCUCAUGGUUAACCGUUUCGCCUAUUGCGCGCACGGUUCGGCUUAUGAAACUACCCCUACGGGGCGUAAUAUUAACUUAAACUCGUUACGGGCAUCACGGAAGGUAUCCUACUGAUACCACAACCUCUUUAAGGCAUAUUGACUUAGGAAAUAAGCGUAAGACUCUCAUGGUUAACCGUUUCGCCUAUUGCGCGCACGGUUCG
rnacentral:lncRNA from 1 species